rnacentral:lncRNA from 1 species
AUGCUGACCAAGUGUCCAGCAUCGGGUACCUGCCUGCCUUUGUCACGGCUUGGCACAUCUGCUCAGCUUAGCCAUUGGUGUUUUCACGCACUGAAACAUACAGCCUCCGAGACUCCGGGUGUGUUUAUUGUGAGUCCUUCGUGGCCACCCUCUUCCUGGACGGUCCUGCAGCACAGCCAUGCACUCGCUGGCAUCACUCGACCCCUGACCCCGCCACACCUGGUUUCUUCUGUCUGCACCCUCAGUUCUUCUGUCACCUCUCUGCCCCAGCCUCAGCCCAGUAUCCCAAGUCCCAUCUUUAAAUGCCCAUGGGGCCCGUCCCAGUUUUUUCCAGCCUGGUCAUGGCUCAUGGGAGGCCACUGGAGGAGCGUCAGGCCCGUCCACCCCAGGAGGAAUCCCCCCACGUCUCAGCUGAGCCUGACAGAUCCAGGAAGACCUCUGGGAGCUCCUGCCGGCCCAAUUCAGGUGUAACAACGACCUGAACCCCUCUGCUGACAGCUGUGAAAUCGCCACCCCAGCUGUCACGGCGACACGGGGCACAGAUUCCCUCGGUGCUCAGGGAACAAAAUCCACAUCAAGAGGCUCAGAGUCAAAGGGGGUCACUUGGAGAAAUCCAUCAGAGGAAGUAGGUCAGGUCACAGCCUCCCAGUUUGUCUUGGAUGUCUUUAAGAAGAACCAUCUAUGAGGUCCCUCCCAGGAGCUAGACAUUUCCUUGGGAAGAAGCAUCAUCUCUCUGUCUUAGAGCUGGGAGGGGCCGAUGUGAGUGCUCCAUGGUGCUAUUAUGGACUAACACUAGUAGCAGCUGCCUCUUGAGAAGCUAGUCCCCUCCAAGGCCAUUUCGAAAGAGAGAAUAUGGUCUAACUGGCAGUUGCCUAGCACUCAAGUUUCUGAAGACUCAGGAGUGAGAUGAGAUAGCUCCAGUGAUGGGCUGGGGAAACCAGGAAGGUCCAGAUAGGAAGCUUUGGGGACCUGCUUCCCUUUCUUUUUCCAAAGGCCACACAUCCCUGUCCCAGCCCUGCCAGCCCCUAAACAACGUUAUGUGAGGGGCGUCCCCAUUUCAGAAGCUGGGAAUACAUUGUCUCUCGUUCUCCGUGGCUGCCCAAAUCAGAAGACAGAACAGUCUGGAAGGUUGCUACGGCAACCAGAAUCCCCGGAGAGCCCAGCUCUUCAUAAACCCUUUCCACUCGGGCAUGCUCUGACUUGAAAUGGUGAGGACGAUGAAAACACACACACAACCAUUCUGAGAAGGACACAUCCGUGUUUCAACAUUCACUCUCGAUGUGAGCAUCCCUUUUGCCUCUGGGUGGGCCUUCUCUUCCCCCCUCCCCCUGAACUGUCAGGAGUAAUAUUCCAGAACAGAUGUGGAAAACUGGCACUUCAUUGCCUCAGAGCAGGUGUCUGAAUCGUGAGCAUUUUCUCUUGUAUUUCAGAUUUGGAGAAGCCAAGCACCCAGUCAAGAUGGUGCUGGCCGUAAAAGGAUGCCACUGAAUCGCUCCAAAGAGCACCUUCCAUGCUGAAGGGGAAGAAGCAUAGAAUAAGGCCCAGUUCAAGAGGCGAGGGAGGGAUUUAAAAAGCUAAGGACCCAGAACAGCCUGGACGUGGGCUUUGGACCCAAAGCGGGAACCCUGGGAGGAGGCUUUGCCUAUGGGACAGGGGGAAGCAGGAUAACGAGCUAGAAAUCAUUGCAGAAGUUCACGCAUUUGCAUAGCAUCACCCCCAGGAUCCAAGCUGAGUUCCUGGGCCAUUCCCCAAGAAGUCGGGGUGGAGGGACAGACGUCAAUGUUCCCAUCAAAUGGGUGGGGACACCGAGGCACAAAGAGGAACUGUGGCCCCCAAGUUACCCUGUAAAGUGCAGCAACAUCCAGACACAGUGUCUCUCAAGAAAACCCUCAAGAGGCUGUACCUCGUAAGCUGGCUCUUCGAGAAAAGCUUAAAAAAAAAUUCUCAUCAAGGAGUCUUAAAGCCUAGAUUAUAAAACUAAAAACAUGUUAACAGUCCUUCUGGUUUCUGAACUGCACCCAGGAGAGCUCAGAACAGUACAUCACAGUUGAUCAAGGCAGCAAAUGAAUGGCAGUGCAAAGAGGAGAAAAAGGGGACGUGGGGAAGUGGUACAGGAAGAGCAGUUCAGUUCACGAUGGAAGAAGAUGGCUCAGACCAGGUGGGGGCACCACUGGGCAUCUCCCCGGUGACAGCCAGCGGCUUCGGCUCCAGGGCUGGAGCAGGAGAAUGUUUACCUGACUCAGCAAAAAACAAAACAAAACAAAACAAAAAACCUCUACCAGUGAGGCUGUCGGCAAAAGAACAAUGCUUCUUCCUUACUCUAAACCUCCUGUCUCAUUGCCUGCAAAAUGCAAACAGAAACCCACGCUAGCAUCCAAUGUGUGCUUUUACCUGGCGGCAGAUUUAAGCUGGAGUCUGCUUUAGCAAGCCUUCGGCUGCAAACCUAAGUCAGAUUCCCAGGAAGAAGGGUGGAGGGCUAGAGAGGGCUGGGGGAAGUGAGGGAAAGGAAUUUGCUGUCAGCAAAAUGACUCCUCCACCGCUCCGAGAUGGCACUGUCUAAGGGACACUGCUUCUCUAAGAAGCAGUCAGGCCAGGUACGUGGUUCCGUUCGGCCAUUUCUCGCAGCUCCGUGGUUCCCCUUUGUCAGUUCCUCCACACAGGAAGGCACCUGAACAGACAGAGUAUUUGGCUCUGAGAAGGAGGAGCCUUCCUGGAAGCCAGAGAGUCAGGGGAAUCAGAGUCGAGAGAGCCAAGUGGAGAACAGAAACUAACAUCUAUCGUGCCAGGUCAUGCUAGAAGAAUCCACUGGCCCUUUUGGUCCAGGACUGACCUCUCACGUCCUCCAAAUGGCCAAGUGUCAUCGUAGUUUCUCUAAUUGCAUCCAAGAUUAGAGACAGAUAACAUAUGUUCAGGCUGUGCAACUGAAGGCUCUCCUAAGGCUUCUCUGCAGAAUGACCAGCCGACCUUACAGGGCACUGGAGGAAAACAACAGGAUGAGUACUGUUUCUGUCCACCGGCUUCGGCUAGUUAGCAUGUGGCCAGAAGCUACGAUGGGAGGGUGCAUGCCCCAAAGCCAAGGAUGCUAAGGAGAAAGAAGACCCAGGUAUGCCUGGUUUCCAGCCUGUCAACGUUACUCUUCCUAGAGGCAUCACCAGUCCCAAACGUGAAAAAUCAAGAGUCUUGAGGGAAGGUCAGAUGGAAAUCUCAUCCACGUGACAUAAGAUGGGCACGAAUGGGUGGCACCAUUAGAAUUUCAAAAAUGUCACUUAGAUGGAGAAACCUGGGGUGCUGCAGGGGUCGAGUAACGAGGCUGACAGUCCAGGUGUACAGGCCUGGUGCCAACCACUGUGGGGUGAGGGAGUCAGGAGGUCACCUGGAGCUGGGGUGAGAGUAGUGGAGGAUGAGAAAGGUCCCUAAGGAAGGGUGUUUGGUGUGUCUUCCUUCCAUGCAGGCACUGCCCGCAUCCAUCAGACCUCAGUGAGCAUCCUUUUCUCUGCAUACCCUCGAUGUGGUGUGGGAAGGUAGCUGGGUCUCCGCUCCCGGGUGGCCUCUGAGAAUUCAGGCUUGCCAAGUCCACUAUCAGCUGCCUUCAGGUCCGGGGCAGGCUGCCCGCAAGUGACGUGGGUAUACUGGCCUUGCUCCUCCUGCUCUGUCUCCCGGUGGUAGAAGUAGUUGAAGUUGGAGACGAUGACUGGCACGGGCAAGGCGAUGGUGAGGACCCCGGCGAUGGCACACAGGGAGCCCACGAUCUUGC